rnacentral:rRNA from 1 species
GGCGGACGGGUGAGGAAUACAUCGGAAUCUACUCUGUCGUGGGGGAUAACGUAGGGAAACUUACGCUAAUACCGCAUACGACCUACGGGUGAAGCAGGGGAUCUUCGGACCUUGCGCGAUUGAAUGAGCCGAUGUCGGAUUAGCUAGUUGGCGGGGUAAAGGCCCACCAAGGCGACGAUCCGUAGCUGGUCUGAGAGGAUGAUCAGCCACACUGGAACUGAGACACGGUCCAGACUCCUACGGGAGGCAGCAGCU